CUUUAAUCCAUUUAGAAAAUAUCAAGGCCCAGCUGUGUGCCUUGGAGGUACAGCUUAUAAACUGUCUUUCUCCAAGAGCUAGGAAAUGUAGAUAAAUGAUCAAACAGUUGCGGCAUGGUGAGAGCACUGUCACACUUCCACUCCUGAUAUGCUCUGUCUCUUUUAGAGCCUGGCAUUGGUGACAUCACACGAGGUCAAGGAAUGACCUUGAUUAGCUGUGAACUAAUGCGUCUUUACUGAUAAAAACAGGGUUUGCAUUGAAUUUUGGGAAGGAAAAGGGAGUCAGUAUGUAUUGAGUGAUGACUCUGCAUGCCAAAUGCUAUGCUGGGCCUGCUGGAAUGCAGCCUCUUACUCAUCACAAUCACCCUAAAAGGAGGGGAGAUUGUAAGAGGUGUAGAGAACCCAAAGGUGGUCCAGCCAGGAAGCAAGACUGCGAGAUCCAUAGGUUCCAUUUCCAUGUAAUUGGUUUUCCUGAGCUGCAGAGUCCUGCAAGGCUGAACUCAUCCCACCCCUGUGAUGUGAGAUGGCCACAUUCCUAUCGUGUCCUCACAUGACUGGAAGAGAGGAAGGAGGUCCUGGUUGAUGCCUCUUUCUAUAAGGAUGCUGGUCUCACCCUGGGGUGUCCACCCUCAUGACCUCAUCAAGCCUCAUUACCUCCUAAAUACCACCAUUGACUGUGGCUUCAAUAGCAGUGUGUAAAUGGAAAAGAAGUGGGGAUGCCAGGCUAGCGACAGCACCUCAGCCAUCUGCAGAGCCUGGCGUCAGCCAACAGACUGCGUGAGAGCAUUCCCUGAGGGAAAGGUGCUGUGUCCAGCUGAGAGCAGAUGUCAACUGCUACAUAUUGAGGGAGAUGGCGAGACCCAGUAGGAAUGGUGACAGAGGCAGGCUAUCUGGGGGCAUUCCAGGCGGCCCCUUUCCCAGCUGUGCCACCUCCAACAAUUUACAUACCCCCCCACCCAUAAUGUACUUGUAUGAAAACACAGACACACACACACACACACACACACACACACACACACAGACAGACACACAGACACAGACACACACACACACACACACACACACAGACAGACAGACAGACACACACACACACACACACACACAGACAUACAGUACAUGACAUGAUAUAGAGGACAAUCUACAAGGUAGACAGAGUGUAAUGAUGGAAUGAUAAUGCCAGAUGUGAACCUUUGGAAGGCAGGGAGGCUGAGGCAGGAUGAUUCCUUGAAGCUGGAGGCCAAUCUGGGCUACAGUGAGAUUCUAUCUCAAAACCAAGGCAAGCCAUCUAGAGAGAAAGAGAACAAAAAAAAGAAAGAGAGAGAGAGAGGACGGGAGGUAGGAAGAAAGGAAGGAAGAAGAGUUAGAUGAAAGAAUUCCACAGUGAGCUCCUGAGGGGUCAGGUUCUGUGAGCCCGGAACAAAGGCAGCUUUCAGCAGAUGCAGUAGCUGAGUGCAAUCUUGGAGGAGGACUUGCUGAAGGCGAAGGAAGACAGGUGAAAGAGGGAAGGAGUGAGGCAUCAGGAGGGAACAAAGGAUAUAAAGUGCCGAAGCCUACAUGAAGGAGAUAGGGGAUGUUCAGCCCCAACUUUGCCCUGUCUUUUGAGGCCCCAUAAAACUAAUGGACUUGGGAUGGGAUCCUUUCAAAAGUGCCCUGGAAGCCAGAUGGGAAGCUUAUGUAAUUGUUUUCACUCUAAAGCAAGCUCGGGUGAAAGUAAUGAUGCCUGCUCCUUCCUGCAGGGCAAGAAGGUACUGGUUCAACUGCCCUCCGCCCUCCACCUUUUCUGGUCCACAGCUGCUGGGAUGGGUCCUCUCAGUGCCUUGCAGAUGGAAAUGUAGCACUCUGUGUAGCAUCCCUGUGCAGGCAGUUGCUGGGAUUUGCAGUUUUGCCGCCCUGCUGGUCUUCACUUAAACACAAAUCACAUUAUCUUUGAACUUCCUUCUGAGUCUAUGCUUAAAUUUACUCAUUAAUGGAGUUAAGAAUCCUGAGAGGAAAUCCCAGCUCCCCCGGUAACAUGUGGCACCCCAGCUGGGGCCCUUCAGAAUUUCUGAUAACAAUUGGACCAG
ensembl:lncRNA